UAGCGAAACCAUAGCCAAGGGAACAUGCUUGGAAAAAUCAGCGGGGAAAGAAGACCUUUUUGAGCUUGAAUCUAGUUCGACUUUGUGAAAUGACUUGAGAGGUGUAGAAUAAGUUGGAUCCAUUUUCAGUCGAAGUCAAAUACCACUACUUUUAAUAUUAUUUUACUUAUUCCUUGGGGAAGAGACGGGGCAUUUCCCCUGUUUUUUGCCAUAAGACACAUUCUAGUGGGUCAAUCUAGGUGGAAGGAAUUCUUAGGUGGGGAGUUUGGAUGGGGUAGUACACAUGUUAAAAUAUAAAAGAGGUUUCCUAAUAUGAGCUCAAUGAGAACAAAAAUAUCAUGUGGAACAAAAGGGUAAAAUUUCAUUUGAUUUUGAUUUUCAAUACGAAUACAUACCAUGAAGUGUGGCCUAUUAUGAAAAUGAAUUUAUUUUGGCCUUAGAUGGUUGUGCAUGUUUUCUCAAUGUGUAAUUUCACUUUUAAUGCAUCUU
rnacentral:ncRNA from 1 species